GCGCGCGUAGGCGGUCUCUUAAGUCUGAUGUGAAAGCCCCCGGCUCAACCGGGGAGGGUCAUUGGAAACUGGGAGACUUGAGUGCAGAAGAGGAGAGUGGAAUUCCAUGUGUAGCGGUGAAAUGCGCAGAGAUAUGGAGGAACACCAGUGGCGAAGGCGGCUCUCUGGUCUGUAACUGACGCUGAGGUGCGAAAGCGUGGGGAUCAAACAGGAUUAGAUACCCUGGUAGUCCACGCCGUAAACGAUGAGUGCUAAGUGUUGGGGGGUUUCCGCCCCUCAGUGCUGCAGCUAACGCAU
rnacentral:rRNA from 1 species